rnacentral:rRNA from 1 species
UUGAAUGGCCGCGGUAUUUUGACCGUGCUAAGGUAGCAUAAUCAUUAGUUUUUUAAUUGAAAGCUGGAAUGAAGGAUUGAAUGAAAAAAUAGCUGUCUCUGUUUAAUUAUUAUAGAAAUUUAUUUUUAAGUUCAAAAGCUUAAAUUUUAUUAAAAGACGAGAAGACCCUAUAGAGUUUUAUAAUUUUUAGUAUAGAAGAUUUAGAAUUAAUUUUUUUUAUAUUUAAGAAUUAUUUGAUUGGGGUGAUUAAAAAAUUUAUUUAACUUUUUUUAUAAAAUUUAUAUUAAUAAAUAAAUAUUUGAUCCAAAAUUUUUGAUUAAAAGAUUAAAUUACCUUAGGGAUAACAGCGUAAUUUUAUUGGAGAGUU